rnacentral:rRNA from 1 species
GACGAACGCUGGCGGCGUGCCUAAUACAUGCAAGUCGAGCGGACUUUCAAGAAGCUUGCUUUUUGAAAGUUAGCGGCGGACGGGUGAGUAACACGUGGGCAACCUGCCUGCAAGACGGGGAUAACUCCGGGAAACCGGGGCUAAUACCGGAUAAUAUCUUCCUUCGCAUGAAGGAAGGUUGAAAGGCGGCGCAAGCUGCCGCUUGCAGAUGGGCCCGCGGCGCAUUAGCUAGUUGGUGAGGUAACGGCUCACCAAGGCGACGAUGCGUAGCCGACCUGAGAGGGUGAUCGGCCACACUGGGACUGAGACACGGCCCAGACUCCUACGGGAGGCAGCAGUAGGGAAUCUUCCGCAAUGGGCGAAAGUCUGACGGAGCAACGCCGCGUGAGCGAAGAAGGUCGUCGGAUCGUAAAGCUCUGUUGUCAGGGAAGAACAAGUACCGUUCGAACAGGGCGGUACCUUGACGGUACCUGACCAGAAAGCCACGGCUAACUACGUG